UACGUAGGUGGCAAGCGUUAUCCGGAAUUAUUGGGCGUAAAGCGCGCGCAGGCGGUUUCUUAAGUCUGAUGUGAAAGCCCACGGCUCAACCGUGGAGGGUCAUUGGAAACUGGGGAACUUGAGUGCAGAAGAGAAAAGCGGAAUUCCACGUGUAGCGGUGAAAUGCGUAGAGAUGUGGAGGAACACCGGUGGCGAAGGCGCUCAUCUGGCCCAAUACUGACGCUGAAGCGCGAAAGCUAGGGGAGCAAACGGG
rnacentral:rRNA from 1 species